rnacentral:rRNA from 1 species
UACAGAGGGUGCGAGCGUUGUCCGGAAUCACUGGGCGUAAAGGGCGCGCAGGCGGCCACGCACGUCCGUUGUGAAAUCGCUCGGCUCAACUGGGCGGGGUCAGCGGAUACGGCGUGGCUGGAGCAAGCUAGGGGGCAAUGGAAUUCCCGGUGUAGUGGUGGAAUGCGUAGAUAUCGGGAGGAACACCAGUGGCGAAGGCGGUUGCCUGGAGCUUUGCUGACGCUGAGGCGCGAAAGCGUGGGGAGCGAUCCGG